AGAGUUUGAUCCUGGCUCAGGAUGAACGCUAGCGGCAGGCUUAACACAUGCAAGUCGAGGGGUAACGGGGAAGCUUGCUUCCGCCGACGACCGGCGCACGGGUGCGUAACGCGUAUACAAUCUACCUUAUACUGGGGUAUAGCCUUUAGAAAUGAAGAUUAACCCCCCAUAGUCUCUUAGAGUGGCAUCACUUCUAGAGUAAAGGUUACGGUAUAAGAUGAGUAUGCGUUCUAUUAGUUUGUUGGUGUGGUAACGGCACACCAAGACUACGAUAGAUAGGGGCCCUGAGAGGGGGAUCCCCCACACUGGUACUGAGACACGGACCAGACUCCUACGGGAGGCAGCAGUGAGGAAUAUUGGACAAUGGAGGCAACUCUGAUCCAGCCAUGCCGCGUGCAGGAAGACUGCCCUAUGGGUUGUAAACUGCUUUUAUACAGGAAGAAACACCUCUACGUGUAGAGGCUUGACGGUACUGUAAGAAUAAGGAUCGGCUAACUCCGUGCCAGCAGCCGCGGUAAUACGGAGGAUCCAAGCGUUAUCCGGAAUCAUUGGGUUUAAAGGGUCCGUAGGUGGAUAAUUAAGUCAGAGGUGAAAUCUUGCAGCUCAACUGUAAAAUUGCCUUUGAAACUGGUUAUCUUGAGUUAUUAUGAAGUAGUUAGAAUAUGUAGUGUAGCGGUGAAAUGCAUAGAUAUUACAUAGAAUACCAAUUGCGAAGGCAGAUUACUAAUAAUCAACUGACACUGAUGGACGAAAGCGUGGGUAGCGAACAGGAUUAGAUACCCUGGUAGUCCACGCCGUAAACGAUGGUUACUAGCUGUUUGGACUUCGGUCUGAGUGGCUAAGCGAAAGUGAUAAGUAACCCACCUGGGGAGUACGUUGCAAGAAUGAAACUCAAAGGAAUUGACGGGGGCCCGCACAAGCGGUGGAGCAUGUGGUUUAAUUCGAUGAUACGCGAGGAACCUUACCAGGGCUUAAAUGUAAGUUGCAUUAGUUAGAGAUAGCUAUUUCUUCGGACCACUUACAAGGUGCUGCAUGGUUGUCGUCAGCUCGUGCCGUGAGGUGUCAGGUUAAGUCCUAUAACGAGCGCAACCCCUGUUGUUAGUUGCCAGCGAGUCAUGUCGGGAACUCUAACAAGACUGCCAGUGCAAACUGUGAGGAAGGUGGGGAUGACGUCAAAUCAUCACGGCCCUUACGUCCUGGGCUACACACGUGCUACAAUGGUAGGUACAGAGAGCAGCCACUGCGCGAGCAGGAGCGAAUCUAUAAAACCUAUCACAGUUCGGAUCGGAGUCUGCAACUCGACUCCGUGAAGCUGGAAUCGCUAGUAAUCGGAUAUCAGCCAUGAUCCGGUGAAUACGUUCCCGGGCCUUGUACACACCGCCCGUCAAGCCAUGGAAGUUGGAAGUGCCUGAAGUCCGUCACCGUAAGGAGCGGCCUAGGGUAAAGUCGAUAACUAGGGCUAAGUCGUAACAAGGU
rnacentral:rRNA from 1 species